CCUACGGGUGGCAGCAGUGGGGAAUAUUGCACAAUGGGGGAAACCCUGAUGCAGCGACGCCGCGUGAGUGAAGAAGUAUUUCGGUACGUAAAGCUCUAUCAGCAGGGAAGAAAAAAAGUCCUUUGGACUUUGGACGGUACCUGACCAAGAAGCCCCGGCUAACUACGGGCCAGCAGCCGCGGUAAUACGUAGGGGGCAAGCGUUAUCCGGAAUUACUGGGUGUAAAGGGAGCGUAGACGGCAGUGCAAGCUUUGAGUGAAAUGCCGGGGCCCAACCCCGGAACUGCUUCGGAAACUGGGCAGCUGGAGUGCAGGAGAGGUAAGCGGAAUUCCUAGUGUAGCGGUGAAAGGCGUAGAUAUUAGGAGGAACACCAGUGGCGAAGGCGGCUUACUGGACUGUAACUGACGUUGAGGCUCGAAAGCGUGGGGAGCAAACAGGAUUAGAUACCCGGGUAGUC
rnacentral:rRNA from 1 species